rnacentral:rRNA from 1 species
GAUGAACGCUGGCGGCGUGCCUAACACAUGCAAGUCGAGCGAUUCUCUUCGGAGAAGAGCGGCGGACGGGUGAGUAACGCGUGGGUAACCUGCCCUGUACACACGGAUAACAUACCGAAAGGUAUGCUAAUACGAGAUAAUAUGCUUUUAUCGCAUGGUAGAAGUAUCAAAGCUCCGGCGGUACAGGAUGGACCCGCGUCUGAUUAGCUAGUUGGUAAGGUAACGGCUUACCAAGGCGACGAUCAGUAGCCGACCUGAGAGGGUGAUCGGCCACAUUGGAACUGAGACACGGUCCAAACUCCUACGGGAGGCAGCAGUGGGGAAUAUUGCACAAUGGGCGAAAGCCUGAUGCAGCAACGCCGCGUGAGCGAUGAAGGCCUUCGGGUCGUAAAGUGCUUUCAGUAGGGAAGAAAAAAAUGACGGUACCUACAGAAGAAGCGACGGCUAAAUAUGUGCCAGCAGCCGCCGUAA